AUACGGAAGGUCCGGGCGUUAUCCGGAUUUAUUGGGUUUAAAGGGAGCGCAGGCGGAGAUGCAAGCGUGACGUCAAAUUUCGGGGCUCAACCCCGUCUCGCGUCGCGAACUGCGUCCCUUGGUUGCGGGAAGGGGAGGCGGAACUCGUGGUGUAGCGGGGAAAUGCAUAGAUAUCACGAAGAACUCCGAUCGCGAAGGCAGCCUUCCGGCCCGUCAACGACGCUCAUGCUCGAAGGUGCGGGUAUCAAACAGGAUUAGAUACCCUGGUAGUCCGCACAGUAAACGAUGGACACCCGCGGUUUGGCCUGUAUGGCUGAGCCGCCAAGCGAAAGCGUUAAGUGUCCCACCUGGGGAGUACGCCGGCAACGGUGGAACUCAAAUGAAUUGACGGGG
rnacentral:rRNA from 1 species